UCUUAUCCAACAUUUGAAGUUUGGGGCAGAUUGGACAUUGUAUGUCUGAGUUACAGCAACUUCCUUUUUCAUGGCGAAACAUCGAAAUUUGUCAGGCCGCCAUGGACACGCCCUUUAACGAAACCUCAAGAUCUUCGCAAUUUAACAUCACAAAGGCCUUUAGAUUACAUUGAAGAAGUUUGGUGUUGAUCUGAAUAAAUCUCUAGGAGGAGUUCGUUAAAGUACAACCCCUGAAAAUGGCAAAAACAACGCCAAUUUUGAAGGGAAAAUUCUAAAUAACCGACUUCCUGUUGGGAUCCGGAUUUCGUACCAAGAGACUUUUUUGUAGGUAUUGGAGUGUUACAUGUGUGUACCAAUUUUUGUACAUGUACGUGAAACAUAGCUCGAGGCGCACUCCGUUUAAAGUGUAUAGGUGGCGCUAUCGAGCCAUUCUGCCACACCCGGUGGAAUAUUGGCCUGCAGAUCUGUUCAGGCCAGGACUCUUAUCACACAUGUGAAGUUUGGGGAAGAUCGGACAUUUUAUGCCUGAGUUAUAACAUCUUUUAUUCCCAUGGCGAGACAUCGAACUUCGUUGCGGCGCCAUGAACAAGCCUUUUAACGAAAACUCAAGAUCUUCACAACUGAACAUGGCACAGGCCUUUAGAUUAGACUGACCACAAAAAAGACAUUGAUGUCAUAAAAUUUGUAGGAGUAGUUCGUCGCAGCGUAAAAUAUGUCACUUCCUGUUGCCAAUAGGUGGCGCUAUGACUAUAACUGAAUAUGGGCAUGUCAAUCUGUUCAGGUUCGGAGUCUCAUCAAACAUGUGAUGUUUGGGGCAGAUUGGACAUUGUAUGUGUGAGUUAUAGCAACUUCAUUUUUCAUGGCGAAUCAUCGAAAUUCGCCAGGCCGCCACGGACACGCCCUUCAACGAAAACUCAAGAUCUUCGCAAUUUAACAUCGCUAAGGCCUUUAGAUUAGGCAUACCAAAUUUGGUGUUGAUUUGAAGAAAUCUCUAGGAGGAGUUCGUUAAAAUACAACACAUGGAAAUGACCAAAAUUACACAAAAAAUGCUCAUAAUAUUAAAAAUAACCGACUUCCUGUUGGGUUUAGAAUUUCGCUCCAAGAGUCUUUUUUGUAGGUAUUGGUGUGUUACAUAUGUGUGCCAAUUUUCGUGCAUGUACGUGAAACAUAGCUUGAAGGCUGUUGAUUUUCUUGGUAUAGGUGGCGCUGUCGAGCCAUUUUGCCACACCCUCUUCUGAAUCCUAUAUCACACGAAAAUUUUCACCAGGUUUGACGAGUGUGCAAAGUUUCAUGACUUUUUGAGCAUGUUAAAGCCCUCAAAAAUGCGAUUCAUUCGGGAGAAGAAGAAGAAGAAGAAGAAGAAGAAUAAUAAUAAUAAAAAACAAAGCAGAUACAAGAGGGUCCUCGCACCUCGGUGCUCGGGCCCUAAUAAUAAUAAUAAUAAUAAUAAUAAACAAAGCAGAUACAAGAGGGUCCUCACACCAUCGGUGCUCGGGCCCUAAUUAAAGCUGCAAGCAGCGAUGAACGGGCCCUCGCACCCGGGCUCACCGCCAUCGUGUGGCUUUAGUAAAAAGGUGAACGUUGAGAAAUAUGCAUUUAAUGUCCUAAAUAUAAGUGGAAUAUAUCAAAGUAUAUCCCAUAUAUGUGCCAAUCUUACCGUUGCCAGCAGGUGGCGCUAUCAUUAUAAUGGAAUAUUGGCCUUCAGAUGUGUUCAGGCCAGGACUCUUAUCAAACAUGUGAAGUUUGGGGAAGAUUGAACAUUUUAUGCUUGAGUUACAACAACUUCUCUUGCUGUGGACAAGACAUCAAAUUUUGUCAUGGCGCCAUGGAAACGCCCUUUAACAAAAACUCAACAUCUCCAAAAGUUAACAUUGCACAGGCCUUUAGAUUAGACUGACCACAAAAUAUAUGUUAAUCUCAAAAAAAUUAUAUGAGUAGUUUGUCGCAGCGUAAAACAUGUCACUUCCUGUUGCCAAUAGGUGGCGCUAUGACUAUAACUGAAUGUGGGCAUGUAGAUCUGUUAAGGGCAGAAGUUUUAUCUAACAUGUGAAGUUUGGGGCAGAUUGGACAUUGUAUGUCUGAGUUACAGCAACUUCCUUUUUCAUGGCGAAACAUCGAAAUUUGUCAGGCCGCCAUGGACACGCCCUUUAACGAAAUCUAAAGAUCUUCGCAAUUUAACAUCGCAAAGGGCUUAAGAUUACACUGACCAGGUUUGGUGUUGAUCUGACUAAAUCUCUAGGAGGAGUUCGUUAAAGUACAACCCCUGAAAAUGGCAAAAACAACGCCAAUUUUGCAGAGAAAAUUCUAAAUAACCAACUUCCUGUUGGGAUUCGGAUUUCGUACCAAGAGACUUUUUUGUAGGUAUUGGUGUGUUACAUAUGUAUACCGAUUUGUGUACAUGUACGUGAAACAUAGCUCGAGGCGCACUCUGUUGAAAGUGUAUAGGUGGCGCUAUCGAGCCAUUUUGCCACACCUGAUGGAAUUUUGGCCUUCAGAUGUGUUCAGGCCAGGACUCUUAUCACACAUGUGCAGUUUGGGGAAGAUCGGACAUUUUAUGCCUGAGUUAUAACAUAUUUUAUUCCCAUGGCGAGACAUCGAACUUCGUGACGGCGCCAUGGACACGCCUUUUAACGAAAACUCAAGAUCUUCACAACUUAACAUCGCACAGGCCUUUAGAUUAGACUGACCACAAAAAAUACAUUGAUGUCAUAAAAUUUCUAGGAGUAGUUCAUCGCAGUGUAAAAUAUGUCACUUCCUGUUGCCAAUAGGUGGCGCUAUGACUAUAACUGAAUAUGGGCAUGCCAAUCUGUUCAGGUCAGGAGUCUCAUCAAACAUGUGAAGUUUGGGGCAGAUUGGUCAUUGUAUGUCUGAGUUAUAGCAACUUCCUGUUUCAUGGCGAAUCAUCGAAAUUCGCCAGGCCGCCACGGACACGCCCAUUAACGAAAACUCAAAAGCUUCGCAAUUUAACAUCGCAAAGGCCUUCAGAUUAGGCAUACCAAAUUUGGUGUUGAUCUGAAUGAAUCUCUAGGAGGAGUUCGUUAAAAUACAACGCAUGGAAAUGACAAAAAUGGCACAAAAUUUGCUCAUAAUAUUAGUAAUAACCGACUUCCUGUUGGGUUUCGGAUUUUGCUCCAAGAGACUUUUUUGUAGGUAUUGGAGAGUUACAUGAGUAUACCGAUUUUCAUACAUGUACAUGAAACGUAGCUCGAGGCGCACACCGUUGAACGUGUAUAGGUGGCGCUGUUGAGCCAUUUUGCCACACCCACUUCUGAAACCCAUAUCAGACGUAAAUUUUCGCCAGUUCUGAGGUGUGUGCAAAGUUUCAUGACUUUUCGAGCAUGUUUAGGCCCUCAAAAAUGCGAUUCAUUUUGGAGAAGAAGAAUAAUAAUAAUAAUUAAAGCUGCAAGCAGCGAUGAACGGGCCCUCGCACACGGGCUCACCGGCAGCGAGUGGCUUUAGUAAAUAGGUGAACGGUGAGAAACAUGCAUUUAAACUCAUAAAUAUAAGUGGAAUAUAUCAAAGUUUACUCCCUAUUUGUGCCAAUCUUUGUGUUGCCAGCAGGUGGUGCUCUCAUUAUAAUGGACUAUUGGCCUUCAGAUGUGUUCAGGGCAGGACUCUUAUCGAACAUGUGAAGUUUGGGGAAGAUCGAACAAAUUAUGCCUGAGUUACAACAACUUCUCUUGCUGUGGCGAGACAUCAAAAUUUGUCAUGAUGCCAUGGACAUGCCCUUUAACAAAAACUCAAGAUCUCCACAAGUUAACAUUGCACAGGCCUUUAGAUUAGACUGACUACAAAAAAUACAUUAAUCUCAAAAAAAUUCUAGGAGUAGUUUGUCACAGCAUACAACAUGUCACUUCCUGUUGCCAGCAGGUGGCGCUAUGACUAUAACUGAAUAUGGGCAUGUAGAUCUGUUAAGGGCAGAAGUCUUAUCUAACAUGUGAAGUUUGGGGCAGAUUGGACAUUGUAAGUCUGAGUAACAGCAACUUCCUUUUUCAUGGCGAAACAUCGAAUUUUGUCAGGCCGCCAUGGACACGCCCUUUAACGAAACCUCAAAAUCUUCGCAAUUUAA